AUGUGGUAAAGUGGAAUGGAAAGUUAAGUUAGCGGUGAAAUGCCAGUCGAACUUUAUAUAUCUGGUUGUUUUUGAAGUAAAUUGAAUUUGACUUUAGUGAAAAAUUUCACUGGAGGUUCAUUUAAGGGGGAAAAGCUCCUUAAUUUUGUGUAUAAGAGUGUUUUUUGAUUAAUUAGAAUUAGGCUUAAGACCAGCCAUAUUACUACAACGUUUUAGUGCAUAGUUGUUUAUACAAAAAAUUUGUUUCUUUUUAUGGAAAGUAGGAAAUUAGGUGCAGAAAUGUGGGCUGUUCUGAAAAAAUGAUUGUAUUAGUAAAAUUUUUGUUAAAAGAAUUUAAAAAUCUAAAUUUGUAUAAUUUAAAUUUUGAGAGUUAUUUUUAAGGAAUUCGGCAAUUUGUGUGCCCACCUGUUUAUCAAAAACAUGUCUAUUGGGUUUAAAUCGAUAGUCUGACCUGCCCACUGAAUAUUUUAAAUGGCCGCGGUAUUUAGACCGUGCUAAGGUAGCAUAAUCAAUAGUCUUUUAAUUGGGGACUAGAAUGAACGGUUGGAUGAGGUACAAGCUGUCUGGCAAUUGUAAUUUUGAAUUUUACUAUUAAGUGAAAAGGCUUAAAUUAUUUAGCGGGACGACAAGACCCUAUAAAGCUUUUAUUUGUCUUAGUAUUUUAACUAUGAUAUUUUUGUGUUUAUGUUAAAAUUGGGGUCAAAUUAGGUUGGGGCGACUGGGAUAUAAAAGGUAACUGUCCUUAUGAUUAAAAUAAUGGUUUUUAGGUAGUUGAUCCUGUAGUAUGGGUUAAAAGAUUAAAGUUACUUUAGGGAUAACAGCGUAA
rnacentral:rRNA from 1 species